GAGGGUGUAGCUCAGUGGUAGAGCACAUGCUUAGCAUGCAGGAGGCCAUGGGUUUGAUUCCCAGUACCUCCA
rnacentral:tRNA from 1 species